UCGUGAGACAGUUCGGUCCCUAUCCGGCGUGGGCGUAGGAUAUCUGAGAGGAGCUGUCCUUAGUACGAGAGGACCGGGAUGGACGGGCCGCUGGUGCAUCGGUUAGACUGCCAAGUCUACGGCCGAGUAGCCAAGCCCGGAAGGGAUAAACGCUGAAGGCAUCUAAGCGUGAAGCCCCCCUCAAGAUGAGAUAUCCCAUUCGAAAGAAGUAAACCCCCUUGAAGACGACGAGGUAGAUAGGGCAGAGGUGGAAGUGUGGCAACACAUGGAGCUGACUGUUACUAAUCGGGUG
rnacentral:rRNA from 17 species